rnacentral:rRNA from 1 species
UACGAAGGGGGCUAGCGUUGCUCGGAAUCACUGGGCGUAAAGGGUGCGUAGGCGGGUCUUUAAGUCAGGGGUGAAAUCCUGGAGCUCAACUCCAGAACUGCCUUUGAUACUGAAGAUCUUGAGUUCGGGAGAGGUGAGUGGAACUGCGAGUGUAGAGGUGAAAUUCGUAGAUAUUCGCAAGAACACCAGUGGCGAAGGCGGAUCUCUGGGCCUGUCCUGACGCUCAGGCGCGAAAGCUAGGGGAGCAAACAGG